rnacentral:misc_RNA from 1 species
AUGUUAAACCUACUGGACGGUAUAUUCACGACAUUUUUUCAUUUAUGGCCCCCUUGCGCUAGGGUCGAUUCCUGGUUUCUGUGUUGUGUACCGUGUUUGCGGAACUGGAUGUCUCUAAUAUGGUCACCUCCAUCGGCUGCCCACAUGGUGCAGCGGACGGACAAGGAGUGUUCUCCGUGAUCCCCGCUUGCCAUACUCUCCACGAGCAUGGCCGCGACGGCCCACGGGGUGCUUACUCGUUCUCUCGGAUGCGGAACAUUUGAGUGGCAUCUGGCUUUCUAGCCUCACAGUGCCAUUUUUUCAUUGCACCAAUGGAAUGACCUGUACAUCGCCGCUGAUGAACUGUCGAGCCACAAGCUUGCGGGGUCACUCGACGGUGUGCUUGUCGUCAAUGGAUGCUACCUGGUUGAUCCUGCCAGUAUUCAUAUGCUUGUCUCAAAAAUUAAGCCAUGCAUG